UGCAUUUUUUGGUAAGACGAUGUUAACAAAAGUUGUUCGUCUUGAUCAGGGCUACAACUUUGCUUAAUAUCCUUUUAACAAAUUAUGCGUAUUUAAGAAGAUAGCGCUGCGCAUGCGCAGAACGUAACUCCUUACGCUUGCAUUUUUUGGUAAGACGAUGUUAACAAAAGUUGUUCGUCUUGAUGAGGGCUACAACUUUGUUUAAUAUCCUUUUAACAAGUUAUGCG
rnacentral:miRNA from 1 species